rnacentral:rRNA from 1 species
UACGGAGGGGGGCUAGCGUUGUUCGGAAUUACUGGGCGUAAAGGGCGCGUAGGCGGACAUCUAAGUCAGGGGUGAAAUCCCAGGGCUCAACCCUGGAAUUGCCUUUGAUACUGGACGUCUCGAGUUCGGGAGAGGUGAGUGGAAUUCCGAGUGUAGAGGUGAAAUUCGUAGAUAUUCGGAGGAACACCAGAAGCGAAGGCGGCUCACUGGCCCGAUACUGACGCUGAGGUGCGAAAGCGUGGGGGAGCAAACAGG